CUCACCUCCUGAUUCCAGCGCUGCGCUGCUGCAGCCGAGCGGAGCCGUGGCGGGAUGGGGGCACACGUUGGUGGGCGCUGGGUGCCGCUGCUCCUGGGUGUGCGCCACGGCAUCUGCAAAGGGCCCCGUCGCCUGCUCCCAGCUGGCGGGCAGGGUGCAGGGCCCGGGGAGCACCCGCAGCUGCACUGGAGGUGCUCGGAGGAGCGUGGAGGGGCCGGGGCGGCCGGGGGCCUGCAGCGGGCAGCUGCCUGCGGGCUGCGGGGGCUUCCCACGGCACACGGCCCCGGGCCGCAGCCCCAUCGGCUGCUGGCGCUGCCGCUGCCGCUUCCCUGCCAGCCGGGGAUGUUGCCAGCAGUGGGCAGGGGCAUUGGGGGGAGGCAUACCCGGCUUCAUCCCGCCGGGUAGGAGCUGGAGGAGGGGUAACUGCCUCUCCCCGGGUGGCAGAUGACCCACAAUUGUGUACAGCCCCUCAGGUGUGAGCUGAACCACAAUUGGGGGCACCUCCUGAGGUGGGAGCUGACCCACCGUUGGGGGCACCUCCUGAGGUGGGAGAGGGCCCACAGUUGGGGGUACACCCUGAGGUGGGAGCUGACCCACAGUUUGGGGC
rnacentral:lncRNA from 1 species